UUGAGCUUGAUAUAUAAUAAUAUAUUGGAUCUUUUCAAAAACAAAUAUUCAUUACAGUGAGUUGGGAAUUCAACUUUUUUAACAACAUAUUCUAGACUCCACCUGUGUUGAACAGGUUAAAAUCGAAAUAAAUAUUUCAGUUUCGGAACACUCAUUGAAUGUAAUACGUCGUUGUGAUGAUUUGUAUUUUGCCCCAAAAUUUUAGACGGAGUUUUCCUAAGCUUCUCUACAAGUUCGAUUCCAAUUUGCUCAACAAGCUAAUAUUAAGAUCUUUUGUGUGUAAAACAUAAGUUCGACUUUGCCCUGAAGAAGUAGAAAUAUAUCUACGAAACGUU